UGUAAGAAUUGUUUUGAAAGGGUUUUGGAGGAAUUAGCAAUCAUUAUUCAAAGUCAAGGUUUGUAUCAAUGAUUUAGGUUUUAUAUAAUAUAAUUAGGACUAGCAAUUUUAGUUAGUUUGUGCAAUUGAUGUGACAUCCAUGGUUGAAAAUUUGAUAUUAUUUUGAUUAUUGGAUGUGCUAAGUUUAUGCAAAGUUUUGUGAUAAUCUAAUAGCGUGGUUUAGAGAUAUCUAAUUUUUAGCACAAGAGGAUUUCAGAAGGUGGCAGUUUGAGGUUGGAUAAGGUUUCUAUAAUAUCUGAAGAUCUAUUAGUUGGAUUAAGGUGAAAAUUUGCAUAGUGGUUGAAGACUUGAAGAUCAAGCUAUAUACCAAUUUUGAGAUAAAGUUAAUAGUUGGAAAGGGAGAAAACAUUGCAGGGAUUUUUACUUUACUUUUCAAGUUGGCGGCUAAGUGACAUUAGUGCAAUUUUUGGAGGUUAUCUCACAAUCUGUCAGUUGGAUUGGGAUAAAAAUUCUAAAGUAUAUAGAAGACUUAUAUAGACAAUUGCAUGAAAAAUUUCACAUCAAGUGGAUGGUUGGAUUGAAUGUUACAGCUUGUUAAAGCUCAUUGAUUAG
rnacentral:lncRNA from 1 species